rnacentral:rRNA from 1 species
AACGAACGCUGGCGGCAGGCUUAACACAUGCAAGUCGAGCGCCCCGCAAGGGGAGCGGCAGACGGGUGAGUAACGCGUGGGAAUCUACCCAUCUCUACGGAAUAACGCAUGGAAACGUGUGCUAAUACCGUACACGUCCUUCGGGAGACAGAUUUAUCGGCGAUGGAUGAGCCCGCGUUGGAUUAGCUAGUUGGUGGGGUAAAGGCCUACCAAGGCGACGAUCCAUAGCUGGUCUGAGAGGAUGAUCAGCCACACUGGGACUGAGACACGGCCCAGACUCCUACGGGAGGCAGCAGUGGGGAAUAUUGGACAAUGGGCGCAAGCCUGAUCCAGCCAUGCCGCGUGAGUGAUGAAGGCCCUAGGGUUGUAAAGCUCUUUCACCGGUGAAGAUAAUGACGGUAACCGGAGAAGAAGCCCCGGCUAACUUCGUGCCAGCCGCCGCCGUAAGAC